rnacentral:rRNA from 1 species
GACGAACGCUGGCGGCGUGCUUAACACAUGCAAGUCGAACGGAAAGGCCCUGCUUUUGUGGGGUGCUCGAGUGGCGAACGGGUGAGUAACACGUGAGUAACCUGCCCUUGACUUUGGGAUAACUUCAGGAAACUGGGGCUAAUACCGGAUAGGAGCUCCUGAUGCAUGGUGGGGGGUGGAAAGUUUCGGCGGUUGGGGAUGGACUCGCGGCUUAUCAGCUUGUUGGUGGGGUAGUGGCUUACCAAGGCUUUGACGGGUAGCCGGCCUGAGAGGGUGACCGGCCACAUUGGGACUGAGAUACGGCCCAGACUCCUACGGGAGGCAGCAGUGGGGAAUAUUGCACAAUGGGCGGAAGCCUGAUGCAGCAACGCCGCGUGCGGGAUGACGGCCUUCGGGUUGUAAACCGCUUUCGCCUGUGACGAAGCGUGAGUGACGGUAAUGGGUAAAGAAGCACCGGCUAACUACGUG